rnacentral:rRNA from 1 species
GACGAACGCUGGCGGCGUGCCUAAUACAUGCAAGUCGAACGCUUCUUUCCUCCCGAGUGCUUGCACUCAAUUGGAAAGAGGAGUGGCGGACGGGUGAGUAACACGUGGGUAACCUACCCAUCAGAGGGGGAUAACACUUGGAAACAGGUGCUAAUACCGCAUAACAGUUUAUGCCGCAUGGCAUAAGAGUGAAAGGCGCUUUCGGGUGUCGCUGAUGGAUGGACCCGCGGUGCAUUAGCUAGUUGGUGAGGUAACGGCUCACCAAGGCCACGAUGCAUAGCCGACCUGAGAGGGUGAUCGGCCACACUGGGACUGAGACACGGCCCAGACUCCUACGGGAGGCAGCAGUAGGGAAUCGUCGGCAAUGGACGAAAGUCUGACCGAGCAACGCCGCGUGAGUGAAGAAGGUUUUCGGAUCGGAAAACUCUGUUGUUAGAGAAGAACAAGGACGUUAGUAACUGAACGUCCCCUGACGGUAUCUAACCAGAAAGCCACGGCUAACUACG